ACCCUAUCAGUAUUGCCUCUGCU
rnacentral:miRNA from 8 species